rnacentral:rRNA from 1 species
ACAUGCCUACAACAUAGUGUUAAUGCACCAUAUCACAUUAUAACUCCGCAGUUAAGUGCGCUCAGGCUAGAGUAGUACUGAGAUGGGUGAUCGCCCGAGAAGUCCUAGUAUUUUACAUGCC